UGGCGGCAGGCUUAACACAUGCAAGUCGAGCGGUAGCAGAUCUAGCUUGCUAGAUGCUGACGAGCGGCGGACGGGUGAGUAACGCGUAGGAACCUGCCCAGUAGUGGGGGAUAGCCCGGGGAAACUCGGAUUAAUACCGCAUACGCUCUACGGAGGAAAGAGGGGGCUUCGGCUCUCGCUAUUGGAUGGGCCUGCGUGAGAUUAGCUAGUUGGUGAGGUAAUGGCUCACCAAGGCGACGAUCUCUAGCUGGUCUGAGAGGAUGAUCAGCCACACUGGGACUGAGACACGGCCCAGACUCCUACGGGAGGCAGCAGUGGGGAAUAUUGCACAAUGGGCGCAAGCCUGAUGCAGCCAUGCCGCGUGUGUGAAGAAGGCUUUCGGGUUGUAAAGCACUUUCAGUGGGGAGGAAGGCCUCGUAGUUAAUAGCUGCGAGGAUUGGCGUUACCCACAGAAGAAGCACCGGCUAACUCCGUG
rnacentral:rRNA from 1 species